GUCUAUGGCCAUACCACCCUGAAUGUGCCUGAUCUUGUCUGAUCUCUGAAGUAAGCAGUGUUAGGCUUUGUUAGUACUUGGAUGGGAGAAAUAAUUUUUAAUCUAAAAUAAGCGCACUCUAAACU
rnacentral:rRNA from 1 species